rnacentral:piRNA from 1 species
UGCAUAGACCUGGCCAUGUGGGUUGAGC